ACGGAAGGCAGCAGUGAGGAAUAUUGGUCAAUGGUCGAGAGACUGAACCAGCCAAGUAGCGUGAAGGAUGACUGCCCUACGGGUUGUAAACUUCUUUUAUGCGGGAAUAAAAAGGAUUACGUGUAAUCUAUUGCAUGUACCGCAUGAAUAAGGAUCGGCUAAUUCCGUGCCAGCAGCCGCGGUAAUACGGAAGAUCCGAGCGUUAUCCGGAUUUAUUGGGUUUAAAGGGAGCGUAGGCGGGCUUUUAAGUCAGUGGUCAAAGCGUGUGGAUCAACCAUACCACGCCAUUGAUACUGGAGGCCUUGAGUGCACAUAAGGAUGGUGGAAUUCAUGGUGUAGCGGUGAAAUGCUUAGAUAUCAGGAAGAACUCCGAUUGCGAAGGCAGCUGUCCGGGGUGUAACUGACGCUAAUGCUCGAAAGUGCGGGUAUCAAACAGGAUUAGAUACCCUGGUA
rnacentral:rRNA from 1 species